GCAGACAUAAUUUAAAACCAAAAUCUUAAGCUGUGGACUUAAAAAUAAAGACUCACCCUCUUUUGUCUACC
rnacentral:tRNA from 1 species